UCUCGAGGUGUCAAAUAUGGCUAAGAUUAAUGCCAUUGCUAAGGCUUUGGAGAUCCUAGUCUCCAAAGGGCUGUUAAUGACCAUUGCUAAGGCUUUGGAGAUCCUAGUCUCCAAAGGGCUGUUAAUGACCAUUGCUAAGGCUUUGGAGAUCCUAGUCUCCAAAGGGCUGUUAAUGAUUCAGCCAUGUGUUGAAUCAGACUCCAAUAAUACUUUAGCUUGGGUUGCGGCGACAGCAGAAGUUCCUUGGAGGAUGAGAAUGGUUGCUAAUAAGACACAUGUGCUUUCUAAGUUCUUUAGUUGGGUGGCCUUUAGGCAUACUCCUUGAGCUGCAUAUUCUAUUGCAGAUGGUUAGGCAAAACAGGGCAUUAGGAAAGCAUCUGACUUGGUUGCAUGGUUGUUGACACAAUGUAUAGUGUGGAUAGGUUUCUCAAUCCCUCAAGUUUUACAACCCUAAACUGUAGAGAAAAAAAC
rnacentral:lncRNA from 1 species